rnacentral:lncRNA from 1 species
GGUGCCAAACGGGCGGCCAACAGAGUCAGAAAAGCGGGCAUCAGGGGGCCGCCUUGGAAGGGUGGACCGUCGAUGCCGCCGUAAGGACGGAAGCGCCGGAGGCCCCACCAAACGGCACGGCCUGGUGCGACAGGCCCGUCGUGUAGACAGGCCCGAGGGACCCUGCGAGCCACGACGGCAACGGAGACGGCGACGGGGGGUACCGGAGCUGGUGGAUGGGGACCCCCGGGCCCGAUAGCGCCCCCGAGCCGGCAGGUGCGGCUCCCUGGGAGGA